rnacentral:lncRNA from 1 species
UCAUGGACGGGUUUUCCAGUCAUGGAUUCGGUCAUGUAUGUGGUCAUGGAUCCGGUCAUAGUUUGUCAUUAAGUCAUGGAUUUGGUCAUGUAUGUGGUCAUGGAUCCGGUCAUAAUUUGUCAUUAAGUCAUGGAUCCGGUCAUGGAUCAGUUCAUAGUUUGCAUAAGCAAGUGCAGGAUAUGACUGGUUGGGGUCAUGAAAUGCGUGGUCAUGAUGGGAUUUAUGAUUGGAUUUAUGACAGGUCAUGGGACCGCAAUAUGACCGUAUUCAGUCAUGGCUGCACUUUAUGACCCCAUGAGGUCAUAAAGGUGGUCAUGUACCUGCUCAUAAAUAUGCGGAACAUGACCAGGUCAUAUUGCGCAUGGUAUUCCAUGAUGGAACAAUGCAUUCCAUGACCACCCUGGCCCAUGUUUUGCACUCAUUCCAUGAGUCGUACACUGCACUCCAUGACUACCCUGGCCCAUGUUUUGCACACAUUCCAUGAGUCGUACACUGCAUUCCAUGACCACCCUGGCCCAUGUUUUGCUUGGUUUACAUGACUCGUACACUGCAUUCCAUGACCACAUUGGCACAUGUUUUACAUUGUUUACACGAG